CAGUAGCCACGGGAACACGUAGGGCGCAAGCGUUAUCCGGAAUUAUUGGGCGUAAAGAGCUCGUAGGCGGUUUGUCGCGUCUGCCGUGAAAGUCCGGGGCUCAACCCCGGAUCUGCGGUGGGUACGGGCAGACUAGAGUGAUGUAGGGGAGACUGGAAUUCCUGGUGUAGCGGUGAAAUGCGCAGAUAUCAGGAGGAACACCGAUGGCGAAGGCAGGUCUCUGGGCAUUAACUGACGCUGAGGAGCGAAAGCAUGGGGAGCGAACAGGAUUAGAUACCCCAGUAGUCCCUGUCUCUUAUAC
rnacentral:rRNA from 1 species